rnacentral:rRNA from 1 species
UACGAAGGGUGCGAGCGUUGUUCGGAAUUAUUGGGCGUAAAGCGCACGUAGGCGGCUGGGUAAGUCUGUCUGUGAAAGCCCGGGGCUCAACCCCGUGGAUUGCAGGGGAUACUGCCUGGCUGGAGACAAGCAGAGGUUGGUAGAAUUCCGGGUGUAGCGGUGGAAUGCGUAGAGAUCCGGAGGAAUACCAGAGGCGAAGGCGGCCAACUGGGCUUGUUCUGACGCUGAGGUGCGAAAGCGUGGGGAGCGAACAGGAUUAGAAACCCCCGUAGUCC